GUUUCAUUUUCUCCUUUUCACCGGUUCUCGUCCGAUCAGGUGAAGUUAAGCAAUGUCGGGGCCGGUCAGUACUUGGGAGGGUGACCUCCUGGGAACACCAGGUGCUGUAGGCU